rnacentral:rRNA from 1 species
GAUGAACGCUGGCGGCGUGCCUAAUACAUGCAAGUCGAACGCUGAAGGAGGAGCUUGCUCUUCUGGAUGAGUUGCGAACGGGUGAGUAACGCGUAGGUAACCUGCCUGGUAGCGGGGGAUAACUCUUGGAAACGAUAGCUAAUACCGCAUGACAACAGUUAUUGCAUGAUAACUGUUUAAAAGGGGCAACUGCUCCACUACCAGAUGGCCCUGCGUUGUAUUAGCUAGUUGGUGAGGUAACGGCUCACCAAGGCGACGAUACAUAGCCGGCCUGAGAGGGUGAUCGGCCACACUGGGAAUGGGACAAGGGCCAGAAUCCUUCGGGAGGCAGCCGUAGGGGAGCUUCGGCAAUUGGCGGAAGUCUGACCGAGCAACGGCGCGGGAGGGAAGAAGGUUUUCGGGUCGUAAAGAUCUGUUGUAAGAGAAGAAAGAGUGUGAGAGUGGAAUGUGCACGUUGUGACGGUAGCUUACCAGAAAGGGACGGCUAACUACGUG